CCUACGGGAGGCAGCAGUGAGGAAUAUUGGUCAAUGGACGAGAGUCUGAACCAGCCAAGUAGCGUGAAGGAUGACUGCCCUAUGGGUUGUAAACUUCUUUUAUCAAGGAAUAAAACGAGGCACGUGUGCCUUUUUGCAUGUACUUUAUGAAUAAGGAUCGGCUAACUCCGUGCCAGCAGCCGCGGUAAUCCGGUGGAUCCGAGCGUUAUCCGGAUUUGUUGGGUUUAAAGGGAGCGUAGAUGGGUUGUUAAGUCAGUUGUGAAAGUUUGCGGCUCAACCGUAAAAUUGCAAUUGAUACUGGCAGUCUUGAGUACAGUUGAGGUAGGCGGAAUUCGUGGUGUAGCGGUGAAAUGCUUAGAUAUCACGAAGAACCCCGAUUGCGAAGGCAGCUUACUAAACUGUGACUGACAUUGAUGCUCGAAAGUGUGGGUAUCAAACAGGAUUAGAUACCCCUGUAGUC
rnacentral:rRNA from 1 species